GCUUGAUGGAGUUUUCUCUUUUGUGACCCCUUUUACCACAUGGGAAAGGUGUUUUCCCUUAGCAGAGUUUCUUAGCCCCAGUCUCCUGCAUUACAUGGCUUCUUUUCACUGCCCCAGUAUCCAUCAGCUUUGUGCCAUGCCCUCUGCAAGAGGCAGAAUCAUCUUAAAACUCAGGACAAAUGUUUUAGGGCCCAACUCCCAAGGAGGUAUCAUGUGUGGCUUCAACAAACAGGUUUUAGAUGGGGAAAACCAAGAGCCUGCAGAAAAGGAAGACCAGAGGAUUUGAAUUCAAGGCUUAGCAUCUAGUUUCAGCACGUCCGAGUGAGGACUGAAGCCUGUUUCAGUGGACGGGAAGAGGAUGAUAUGCUGCGGUCAUGCGAGUCUCCUUUCAGUUGCUUCAGUACAUCAACACGCUGGUACAGCCAACCCGGGAGACAUCUGUUAUUCCUGCAAUGCCGACUAUGCAUCUUCUUGACUCAUUUUCUAUUAGAUCCAGCUGUUCUGGCUGAUACGGUAGUGACCUUUUCAGCUGGUUCAGCACUUGGCUACCAGGAGGUGAUUGGAUGUGACUUUGACAUAGGCUUGAUGCUUAACAUCUAUUCUGCUGUGGUGAGGAGGGAUUUCACCCACCUGUUUUGAGAAGGAGCACCUUGGAAGAUCAACUGGCCCUUGCUCACCAACAGGAGGAGCUGAGGGACGAUGACUGACCACCUCCUGCUUUAGAGCAACAUUUUACAUGUUGGAAGAUUAUUAUCUUAUGGCAUUUUAGCCUCCUUUUGUAGACUAAACAAGGCUAUUUGCCAUUUCCUUCAACUUCAGCCACAACCCUGUUAUAUUCUUCCAGCCUUUUGGACUUAAUUUAGAGCAUAAGGCUUGGCUGGUGUGCCUAGGUAAGCCUGCGAGCAAAAAGUCCCUCUCUUCAUCACUGCAGUUGUGCCAGCAAAUUCAUCAAAGCAGAUGAGGCUACAUCCAUUAUGUGGCCUUUUAUUGGUGCUGCUUGUGGUCGCAUCACCGCAGGGAAGCUGAGUCAGUAGAGGCCUUCUGCAGGAGUUUUCUAGCUCAGAUUCCACUGAAACUCAGAGGUUUGUCUCUUUGUUGCAGCCAUGGUGGUUUGCAGCACGUUUCUGUCUCAUUUCCCAGUGGCAUUGCCACUGCCUGACUUCUCCAGGAGGCUUCCCAGGAGAGGACACAACCUGCACCUUUGGUUCUGAGCUUCCUUGUGCUUUUGGAUGCUUCUGGUGCCGUGGACAGUGUAGAAAGUGGAGCUGAAUGUGUCCCGCAAGGCUCUUGUUUUGUCUUUGCUUGGUGCAAAAGUCUGUGCAAUGCUUCUGGUGCAAGGCAGGCUUGUAGUUCAUUUUGCUUUGUGCACCCUCACUGGGACCCCUCUAUGCUACAGCAGGUCUCUGAGGGAUACCAUGGGCUGUUCCAGUUCUGCCUGGAUCCCCUCCUCCUGCAUGAAAAACAGUACGUGUAGGUAGGGAGAAGAUGGAAAACUGUUCUCAUUGGGCUUUCCCUACAGGUCUCCUUUCCUCUCCAUAGGUGGGAACUUAUGUGACUGGUGUACCAUCAUAGAAGACCACCUGGGCUAGACAUUCUGCACCAGGAGGGAAAGGGAGAAGUAGAGAAGGAUGAAAGGCAAGAGAGCAGCCAGACAGAACAUCCAUACUGUGAUGAGGUUUGGUUGGGUCUGCAUUGAAGCCUCUCCCAGUGCUGAGGACAAGUUUUGCAAACCUCUCUUCUGCUUUGAGAAAUCCCCUGCUCAAGUCAGAGGCCUCAAAGAGAGCUCUGUAUCUGCACAGGGGCCUCACUGAUGUGUGGAAGCCAUAAGGAUGUUUGUAGGCUGGAGGACACACUGGGAACAGCAUGCUUAGCUAGUUUUGCUAUCUCAGUGGGACUGAUUGUGGAGAACAGCUGGUUCAGCCAGGAGAGAAGCGUGAUAGUGAGAUGCCAGAUGAGUAAGACUAAACAGAGCAGCCCUGAUUUGCCUCUGCCUCCCAGCAGAUCAAACCCAAAAUGACCCCAAGCAGGUUGCCCAGGUCAGAGGCUAAUGAGAGCCAGUGCCUUCACUUUAAAAAAGGCACUUGACCCCACAGGAAAGGACCUGUUCAAAGGAUCCAGCACCCUGGCUGGUUUGUGCCCAUCCCUGAUGCUCAGUGACUCCCAGGAAUUCUGGCUGUAUCACUAAGAGUGCUCAGUUUGCCUACCAGAGGCAAUCCCUGUUGUAAAUCCCGGGUGUAAAUCCUGCUGUAAAUCGUGCUGGGUACAGGUUCUACAGCUUCCUGCGGGAAAUUUCCUCCACCUUCUCAUGGGAUGCUCUGGGGCUGCUGGUGCUUCUCACCCUAACGCACUUUGCAGCCUCUGUCUCUCCUCCUGAGCCAGCCUUGGCUCACUGCACGGGGAAGAGCAAGCUGUCAGCCUCCUGCCACAGCUUUGGGGCUGAGGUGAUAAGUGCUGGGGCCUUGCAAGAGCUUUGGGCUGAAUAUAGAGAUCUUACAUGAAGUGUCUGGUUUAAUUAUGGUGCUUAAGGUCAGGAGAAUGACGAGAUGCACCCACCAGACCUGACUGCUUCAGCAGUGGGGGGAAGCUCCGUAGGAGCUCCACAGUAGCAUUCAGGCAGAGAAGAGUCUUCUCUUUAAGCAGGUGAGGACAGUGCAGUGUUGUUGCUUCAACAGAGGCAGGAGAGACCAUUUCACAGCCUGUCUGGUGUCCAGCUACUCUGUACCGGCAGGAAUCUGCCCCUGUCUCUCUGUCACAGCCAUUAGUCCCACGC